ensembl:lncRNA FAM230F family with sequence similarity 230 member F
AGAGCAGAUUGAACCUUUGUGGUUUCAUUUUCCCUGAUUUUGAUUUUUCUUAUGGGGAACCUGUCUUGCUGCAUUCAAGGUGACUCGAAGAAGCCUUCCCAAAGGCGUGUGAAAAGGCAGCCCUACUCUACUACCAAGGUGACGUCAGGGAGCACAUUCAAUGAGAAUACAAGAAGAUAUGCUGUGCACACCAACCAGUGUAGGAGACCUCAUGGCUCCCGGGUAAAGAAGAAGAGGUACCCACAAGAAGAUGACUUCCAUCAUACAGUCUUCAGCAACCUUGAAAGAUUGGACAAGCUUCAGCCCACUCUUGAAGCCUCUGAGGAGUCUCUAGUUCACAAGGACAGAGGAGAUGGAGAGAGGCCAGUCAACGCGAGGGUGGUGCAGGUGGCCCCUCUGAGGCUUGAAUCUACUCCCCAUGAGGACACCGUACACGACAUCACUAACGAGGACGCCACACACGACAUCGCUAACGAGGAUACUGUACACGACAUCGCUAACGAGGCCGCCGACAAGGGCAUCGCCAACGAGGACG